CAUACACAUCAGCAGAAUGGUUCAGUAGAACGUAAGCAUCGUCACAUUGUUGAAGCUGGUCUGACUCUUUUGGCCCAUGCAUCUAUUCCGUUUCGUUUUUGGAGUGAUGCUUUCACCACUGCAUGUUUUCUCAUCAAUCAUACUCCCACUCGUGUUUUGAAUAUGAAGACUCCCAUUGAAGUUCUCCUUAAUGAACAACCGGACUACACCUUUCUCAAGGUGUUUGGGUGUGCUUGCUGGCCCCAUCUUCGUCCAUAUAACAAGCGUAAGCUCGAGUUUCGUUCCAAGAAGUGUGUUUUUCUUGGUUAUAGCUCUCUUCAUAAAGGAUACAAAUGUCUUCAUGUGCCCACUAAUCGUGUCUACAUCUCUCGGGAUGUUGUGUUUGAUGAGCAUGUUUUUCCCUUUGCCAAACUCCCUGUGUCCACUAUCGAGCCACCUGUCAUGCAUUCAUCCUCUGUUGCUUCUGACCAAUUUGAUGAUGUUGCAUAUUCUCCUCUAUUGUUGCCUAACCAUGGUGCAGGCACUGGUCGUGGGGCUCGUUUGGAGAUUCUGGAAGUGCCAUCUUCCUCUUCGUCGCCAUCGCCUUCAUCCUCGGCACCUUCUGUUGUGCAUGAGGAGCACAUG
rnacentral:rRNA from 1 species